rnacentral:rRNA from 1 species
CGCGGCCUAUCAGCUUGUUGGUGAGGUCAAGGCUUACCAAGGCUACGAUGGGUAGCUGGUCUGAGAGGAUGAUCGGCCACACUGGGACUGAGAUACGGCCCAGACUCCUACGGGAGGCAGCAGUGGGGAAUCUUGCACAAUGGGCAAAAGCCCGACGCAGCAACGCCGCGUGAGGGAAGACGGCCUUCGGGUUGUAAACCUCUUUCAGAUGGGACGAAGGUUCCACGGCGAAUCCUCCAUCGGAUUGACCGGACCGCCACAUGACGCUCCCGCUAACUACAUGCCAGCACCCACGGUAAUCCGUAAUUAGUGAGCGUUGUCCGGAAGCAUUGGGCGCAAAGAGCACGGAGGUGGAUUAAUCAGCUUGUCCCGAAACCUGCUUUUUCAACCGUUGAACGCCGGUGGAUACUGUUGAUCUAGAGUUCCUGGAGGCGAGUGGAAUUCCUGGUGUACCGGUGGAAUGCCCGUGUAUCAGGAGGAACUCUGGACAUCACCUGACUCGCUGGGACGUUACUGACACUGAAGUGCGAAAGCGUGACCAUGAAACACGAUUACAUACC